GCUUAGAGGCAGUGAGGAAGCAGGGGAGGUGGUGUGACAUAAAUUGGUAGGGGACCCAGUCAGAGAACGGGUGUGUGAUUGCUCCCCACCUUCCUUCUGCAACCCGUGUGGGGAGGAGUGAAGGCAGAGGAUGGUGGGAGUGAUCCAAGGCUGAGACUUGGCAAGGGCAUCAUCAGUGUAUGUGAUAAGAGGGCCAGCCAUUCCAUGGAGGAACAGUUGAACUGGUUCACCAAGGGGUAAAGAUGAGAAGAGGAGAGCGUGGCUAGUGCAAGGGAGAUGUCCUGGCAGAGACCUGAGAGGGAUUGGAUGUCACUGGAGGUUCGGACAAAGAACAGACUCUGCUAAGGGAAGGCAAGAGGGAGAGGUGGAAAACCGAUAGACGUGGCUUUCCAAGUCUAUUUUCCAGUCAGAUAAGGGGAUUUCAGCAUUCUUGUAUGUGGAGGUGCACUUGUGGGUGACGGCAGGAUCCAGGUCAUGACCAUCUUUGUGUGUGGCUGAGGUGGGAUGGAGGAGGAGCCCUUGGCCAUCCUCCCCAGGUCCAGAGGUAUUUCCUCUCCCACCUCGGUCCUUGGCCCUCCUCAGUCCAGGCCCCAAAGCAAAGUUCUCUCGGAUAUUGAUGAAAAUCUGUCUCCUCUACAGAGCCACAUCUGCAGUAAGAGCAUCAGUGCCCCGCAACUAGCUGUCUGCUCAUCUUGUGGUUCUUCUACCCUUGACUGAGAUCCUGCCGGAUGGACCUUGGCAAUUCUGGCCCCACGGAGAUCAGUCUUCUGCCCUGGCCUGCGAGGAUCCCCUGAUACUUCUCCUCCCAGACUGACCUUGGCCUUUUUCUGCCCAGACUGACAUCGAACCCCAGUCUGAAGUGAGAAGGACAGUCGCCUGUGGGUUCUCAUCUGCCAUCCUUGCAGUCUUUGGCCCCGGACCAAGAUCCCAAAGGUGUCUUCUUCUUCAAGGUGGACCUUGACCAUUCUCCUCAGACCGAGAUCUGGGCCCAAGAUUCCAGAAUUCCCUGGGUCUCAUUGACCAUCUUCUCCACCUACCAAGAUCAAGAAAGGCAUCUCCUCUCAGACUUUUCCUUGGCACUUGCCUGCCCCCGACCCCCUGUGGAACCAGGCCCUAAGCUCCUGGGCCACCCAAUCCUGUAUCUCCCACCCCCACGCCCACCCCCACUGCUGUCCCAGGAAGGCAUCUCCACCACUGACUGACAUCCAAAGUGGCUCUGUGUGAGUGUCCGUCUAUCCAUCUGUCCGUCCAAGUGGCUGUCUGCCUGGCCCUCUGCAGGCUGC